AAAUAUUCAAACAAUACCGAUGGAAACGAGAGCGAUUUGUAAACUGUUUGUCGACCCGUGAUUGCGUAGAAAAAGUGGAAGUGUCUUUUGCUUUAAGCGUUUUUAUCGUCUUUUUUUUAAGAUCAUGUUAUGUUUUAGUUUGUUGUCAUGUACGAAAUCGUGGUCAAAUUUAUGCAAUGUACUGAUUUUCUAUUAGAUGGUGACUAAUAAAAUUGAAUUAGUUAUUAGUUAAAUAUUUGUUCGUCAUUUUACUUUGACUUUUUUUAGUGAAAGUUGUAAAACAAUCAUUAGUGUCGGUCAGUGGUAUUUGAAUAUCGUUUCGAUCAUCUGUUACAGGCGCCACCAUGCAGACUUACCUAAAAUUUAUUUAUUAUUUAAGUUUCCGCUGCUUUUCGAUAGAAAGCGCUAGUGCUUCCGCGUUUGUGGCGGCCGUUAUCGAUAAGGAAGAUUGAAGAUUAUUCUCAUCGCCACCUUUUUAUAACUACAUUUAUUGUUCAUUUGUCAUUUUAAACAAAUUAGAAUAACUUUUGUAACUAUUCAUUCCUCGCCAAAUUCUCCAAGCCUAAAGACGUGUCAACCUUUAUAUCAAUAUUUCCGAAUAUAUAUUUUUUCAAUUGAAGCGUUGACCAUUCAUUUUAAAUACGGAACAAGUCCACACGUUUGUGGCGGCCGGCAUCGAGGUCGAUAAUGAAGAAAAUGACUAUUAAGAAGAAAUUGUCGACACCACUAAUCAUUUUCGCUAAUCAUUUAUUUUUAUUAACAAAAUUCAUCAACUGCAAAGGUAUGUUAACGGCUGAACUUUACCUCAGAGGCCCAAAAAUUAUGGCCCUUUUUUUUACCUUCUUGAAGUAUUUUACGAGUAGAAUCUAAAAAUCCUAGUUUUAAGGCGCGGUAUCCAUCGGUUCAGAAGUUAGACGUGUGUAAAAAUGAGGGUUUUUAGCGUAUUUCACGGGUUAUUUCGACGCCAUAUUGACUUGUAGCCUGUUGCCGUCCAAUCACGUCCAAUGAGUGGAGUCGCCGUCGGUAAAACAGAAUUUGUAGGUAAAUUAGUCUAAACUUGGCUUUCAUUCGAUUCCUAUUAUAAUUGGCAUUUUUUACUAUUUCUAGGGCUAGGGUUAGAGUUAGGGUUAGGGUCAGGGUCAGGGUAAGGGUUAGCGCCGGAGUACAGCACACCCGGUAUACGCUAAAAACGCUCACUUUUACACAUGUAUAACUUCUAAACCAAUGAAUUCCGUGCCUUAAAACUAGGAUUUUUAGAUUCUACACGUAAAAUACUUCAAGAAGGUAAAAAAAAGGCCAUAAUUUUUGGGCCCCUGAAGUAUAGUUUAAUACUACAAGAAAGGAAAAAAUAAAUUUUCUCGGGCCAAGUAAUGUUUUAUUCACCUCUUCAAGAAAAAAGACAGCAAAAGUUUUUACAAAUCCUCCGGAGGCAAAUGUGGAAACAGCCCGACUGGUAAAACUUCCGCCAUUCUGGAAAGAAAAUCCUUCAUUAUGGUUCAAAUGUAAUCGGGUUUUGUUGCCCCAUAUGUUAUUUUAUAAGCACGAUAGUGUCUUAGACAGUCGUUUGUUUAAUUGCGAAGCGAACACGGCAUGGCAUGGCUGCCGCAAAGCCAGUGUCACAACAUCCACAACUGUGCCAGAGUGCCAGUAUUGUGGCGACCAUUGUAAGCCAAACACGUAUUAAAUAUCAUUUCUCAAGUUAAACAUCUCCUUUGCCCAAGCCUUACACAAACAAGUUGAAGCAGCUUUCUCCGUUGUCCGAGUCGUGAGCGAUGACUCGAAAUUCAAAUAUAUAGUCAUGAAUUUGGAACAAUCAAUCCUACCAAUCGUCUCCGACAUCCUCGAAUCGUCGCCGGAUCAUGGAAGAGACAUGAAGCCCUGAAGAGCCGAAUAAUCACCGUUUUUACUGAGACAACAGAAACAAGACUAAGAAAACUUCUUCACGGACACGAGCUUGAUGAUGAGAAACCAUCAGUUUUCCUCCAACGAAUGAAACAUCUAGCAGCAGAUAUUUGAUGGAUAUUGAAAGGACGCCAUGACACCUGAUAUGGAUUUGAAAUAGAAUUUGAUGAAUUUUUUGAUUUUGCCGAGUUCCUAGACAUCCUGAUGUCUUCUCUCUGUUAUAUUUUUUUCAGGAACUAUGCCUUUGAGAUUCUGAAAUGUACCACAUUGCAAAUAUAAUUUUACGGAAAGAAAAUUAAUAAUAAUGGAUGCAUGGUCAAUAUCGUUUAAUUAUGUACUUAAAUAAUGCCGUAGAAUAUGACACUGUAGUACCAAAAACUAUGUCGCGUUUGGUAUCAUUUUAAUCAGGAAUUUUCACAAACAAAAUAAAUUACAGUCAGGAUUUAAA